rnacentral:rRNA from 1 species
GAUGAACGCUAGCGGCAGGCUUAAUACAUGCAAGUCGAGGGACAGCACAGGUAGCAAUACUGGGUGGUAACCGGCAAACGGGUGCGGAACACGUACACAACCUUCCUUUAAGUGGGGGAUAGCCCAGAGAAAUUUGGACUAAUACCCCGUAAUAUAGUUGAAUGGCAUCAUUUAAUUAUUAUAGCUACGGUGCUUAAUGAUGGGUGUGCGGCUGAUUAGAUAGUUGGCGGGGUAACGGCCCACCAAGUCUACGAUCAGUAGCUGAUGUGAGAGCAUGAUCAGCCACACGGGCAUUGAGACACGGGCCCGACUCCUACGGGAGGCAGCAGUAAGGAAUAUUGGUCAAUGAACGCAAGUCUGAACCAGCCAUGCCGCGUGAAGGAUUAAGGUCCUCUGGAUUGUAAACUUCUUUUAUUUGGGACGAAAAAGGGCCUUUCUAGGUCAACUGACGGUACCAGAUGAAUAAGCACCGGCUAACUCCGUGCCAGCCGCCGCCGUAACAC